rnacentral:rRNA from 1 species
CACGUAGUUAGCCGGAGCUUACUCUUCAGGUACCGUCAUUUCUUCGUCCCUGACUACUAAGGUUUACAAUCCGAAGACCUUCUUCCCUCACGCGGCGUUGCUGCAUCAGAGUUUCCUCCAUUGUGCAAUAUCCCCCACUGCUGCCUCCCGUAGGAGUCUGGGCCGUGUCUCAGUCCCAAUGCGGCCGAUCAACCUCUCAGUUCGGCUACCGAUCGUCGCCUUGGUGAGCCAUUACCUCACCAACAAGCUAAUCGGACGCGAGUCCAUCCUUCAGCGAAUUGCUCCUUUGAUACCAGGAUGAUGCCAUCCCGGCAUAUUAUGCGGUAUUAGCGGCCGUUUCCAGCCCGUUAUUCCCCACUGAAGGGCAGGUUACUCACGCGUUACUCGCCCGUCCGCCACUAACAAAAAACCGAAGCUCUUUUGUCCGCUCGACUUGCAUGUGUUAGGCACGCCGCCAGCGUUCGUCCUGAGCCAGGAUCAAACUACU